rnacentral:lncRNA from 1 species
GGUGUGUGGCUAUGAAUUCUUUCAAAAUUCAAAAUUGAGUGCUUCAAACUUGGUCAAAUGAACCAUUUGAUGACAUCAAACGAAACAAUUUUCAAUACAAAGUUGUUAGAGAUGACCAAGAUCAACAUUUGAUACAUUGUCCAUUUUUCAUUUGGAUAAAUUUUAGCCAAUCCUAGGCACAUGUGUUUAAAAUCCAAGAUGGGUUUUGGUCAAACUUGGUCAAAUGGCA